GCAUGUCUGUAUUUCUCAUUCAUUUGUGGUUAUUUAAUUGUGCUCUGGUUUCUUCCACCUACAAGUUGGUAUCCCUCCUGCCCUCGUAUUUCAGAGACUUGGCUUGAUUGUUGUGGUUGAGGUAGUCCUGGCAGGGCCACUGUAAAGCCACAGGACUAAGAGAAAGAAGAAUCAACUCACAUUUUGAGGAAAACAAGUUUGACAUUUCAAACAAAAAUCUGAAAAGUCUGUGAGAUGGGUGGUUUUUUACCUAUUUAUUUAGUUCAGAAACUUUGGACAUUCUCAUACAUAGUUUUUUAGAUGAUGGGUUCUUAAGCCCUUAUUUAAUUUAGAAAAAAAAUUGGAUAUUCAUCUUGUCUAGUAAUUACUUAAAAACCUGACAUACUAUAUGUUGAUAACUUAAGAGAUUACAG
rnacentral:lncRNA from 1 species